UCUGGUGAUUAGAGCGAUGUGGUACCACCCGUUCCCAUCCCGAACACGGCCGUGAAACGCAUCAGCGCAGACGAUACUGAGGGGGCGACCCCUUGUGGAAAAUAUGCCAUUGCCAGGA
rfam:Dehalogenimonas sp. WBC-2, complete genome.